rnacentral:rRNA from 1 species
GAUGAACGCUGGCGGCGUACCUAAUACAUGCAAGUCGAGCGAACAGACGAGGAGCUUGCUCCUCUGACGUUAGCGGUGGACGGGUGAGUAACACGUGGAUAACCUACCUAUAAGACUGGGAUAACUUCGGGAAACCGGAGCUAAUACCGGAUAACAUGUUGAACCGCAUGGUUCAACAGUGGAAGACGGUCUUGCUGUCACUUAUAGAUGGAUCCGCGCCGCAUUAGCUAGUUGGUAAGGUAACGGCUUACCAAGGCAACGAUGCGUAGCCGACCUGAGAGGGUGAUCGGCCACACUGGAACUGAGACACGGUCCAGACUCCUACGGGAGGCAGCAGUAGGGAAUCUUCCGAAAUGGGCGAAAGCCUGACGGAGCAACGCCGCGUGAGUGAAGAAGGUCUUCGGAUCGUAAAACUCUGUUAUUAGGGAAGAACAAAUGUGCAAGUAACUUUGCACGUCUUGACGGUACCUAAUCAGAAAGCCACGGCUAACUACGUGCCAGCAGCCGCCGUAA